UACGGGGGGGGCAAGCGUUGUUCGGAAUUACUGGGCGUAAAGGGCGCGUAGGCGGCUCGCUAAGUCGGAUGUGAAAACUCUGGGCUCAACCCAGAGCCUGCAUUCGAAACUGGGGAGCUCGAGUUCUGGAGGGGAAAGCGGAAUUCCUGGUGUAGCGGUGAAAUGCGUAGAUAUCAGGAGGAACACCGGUGGCGAAGGCGGCUUUCUGGACAGAAACUGACGCUGAUGCGCGAAAGCUAGGGGAGCAAACAGG
rnacentral:rRNA from 1 species